rfam:Schistosoma rodhaini strain Burundi genome assembly, scaffold: SROB_contig0004184
CACCGCCCGUCGCUACUAUCGAUUGAAUAGUUUUGUGAGGUCGUUGGAUUGGCGUCGUUGUAGUGGCUUUGCCGUUCGACCGAUGCUGAGAUGACCUGAUUUGACUAUUUAGAGGAAGUAAACGUCGCAACAAGGUUUCCGUAGGUGAACCUGCGGAAG